rnacentral:lncRNA from 1 species
ACAUCACACGCCUCCUUCUUCCUCCCACUCUUCCUUGAGAGCCAAAAACCCAUCCUUCUCAAAAUACAAGCUUGCAUGACUAAUUUCUUCAUUAUAAUAAUAAUUCCUUUAACCAAGAAACAAGAAAGAUUAAACAUUAGUUCUUUUCCCCUAUUCUCUGAACCGAACAACAACACACAAAACUCCAAAAGAUCCCAAAUCACUAAUCUCACAAUUUCUCCAUUUAUUAGAAAUGCAUGUACGAAAUGCUUCUUAUAUUCAAGCUUUGAAGUGUUGGAAAUUAAAGUAAGACACUAAAUCCUUUUCCUUUCCCUUGAAAUUGGUCAUAUCUUUCGUUAUCAACAUCUAAGAAGAAACUUCAAGUUUCACUAAGUUGAUUGUGUUGAGUUGCAUGUGAAUAUUGGUGAGUCAAGGACUGUUGGGUACUAAAGUAGAAGGUUAAGGCCAAAGAAAAGAAAGUACCAGCCAACAUUAUUGAUGGAAUACUUUGAAAGUCAGAACUUGGAGUUGGUUGGACAAGGAAAUCUAGGUAUGGGAUUAAUUUCCUUCUUUCCCUUUUCAAUCACAAUGAACCCCCUUUCUAGUAUUCAACCUAAAUUCUAGAUAUUACUCCAUUAUAUGAGAUUGAGGGCUGCGUGUGGGUUUCAGUAGCCAAGAGACCAUGGGUGCGAGAAUUCCAAGUUUUGGGGAAGAUUAUGUGAUUUUCGUGUCUAAGGAUAUGCCUUCACUAAAACGGUAACUUUUCUCUAUAUGUAACUCCGAAUGAGACGCCGUUUGAUUUUGUGGUUAGCUAACGAAAUUUCGGUCAAUUUGACGCCAGAUUCAUGAAUUAUAGAGCAGUAAUGAAUUCGGGAGACCAGUUUGAAGUUGAGGAUCUGAUAUGGAAAUUAUGCUGAAAUUCUGUUAUGUAUUUAUAGUACUUCGCUACAAUUCUAUUUUUUUCGGCGAGCUCCAAAGAUGUCGUUAGCACUGUGUUUAAAGCUUCUGAGUUAAUCUCAUUCAGGUGGGUUCCUUUAGAAGCUUAACUUUUAGAUUAGUUAGCACCUUUAGUUUCCCCAAAUUCAAUAUAUGUAUGAUAACAUUAGUUUUAGUUAGGAAAUUAGUCUCCCCAAAAUUAUGCAUGACAACAAUAGGAAAAAUUAGGAAAUAAUUGUGUGAGAAGGUUUAAUCCCAAAACCAUCUCCAUUCUAAUUAUAUAAUAAUAUUUUAGUUGCUUAUGACUGGACAUGAAUGGGAUUGUAGGUGGAAACUGAUAAACUCUUUUAAAAGUAAAAGCAGAUAAUUAAACUGGUAUUCUCGCAUAGCGAGCAUCUUGCUUCGCUAAGCGAGCGUAUCAGAUUAGGACUCUGUAGAAUCAACAUUUUAAAUAAAAAUCCACUCGUUUUAUGUCCCUGACUAUUCUGGAAUAUUUCGUAAGCAGCAUAAUAAUAUUAUGUGAUUAGAAUGUUUAUCACGCGCAGGAACUUAAGUUCAGGAAUCAGGACAGUUAGAAUUACCCCGGGAAGGUUUUCUUUCUUUUGGGUAGGAUAACCAUUCAGGAUUAGGAAUUAUGUUUCAGAAUUUAUCAGGAUGUUUGGUCAUNNNNNNNNNNNNNNNNNNNNNNNNNNNNNNNNNNNNAUCAGGAAGCGUGGUCAUUAGUACCAUGUCAGGGGAUUCAUUCAGAAUCCAAAAUCAUGUAUUAAGAACUGUAAGCUCAUGUUGUAUUACGACGUAUAUUAUUAUCGGUAAUAACAGGCCAGGCACUCCGGGACCGGCUUACCUCGGAGUGAUCCUGUUAUGAUAAAAUUGACAAGAUAAUUAUUAUGUGUGUUACACCUUUAUUGCUUUAUUAUCAUAUUAUGAAAACUUCAGGAUUAUGUCACGAUUAGAUAUUCAGGUUCAGGUUAAAGUUAGGAACUAUUAGUUUCAGUUGCCCCGGUGUAGUCACCAGUAGUUGGGUAGUAGGAGCUCACUGAGGCUUAGUAGUCUCAUCCCACGACUUUCAAUUUUUUUUUAGGUAAACAGGUUAACCGGAGCAAGGACCAGGAAGGAACUGAUGAUCGAGGUUGAGUUUGGAUUAUCGGAUUAGAAGACUAUCGUCUUCUUCUUUGUUUUUAUGUUAAUCUGUUAAGUUAGAAUUUAAUUCUCUUCCGCUAUAUUGUACCAGAUUAUCACGUUAUUCAUGUGAUAUCUUGUUAUUCAAUUAACUUAUUCUGUAAUUUUAAUGUACUCAGAUUCAAUUAUUAAUAUCUCGACUAAAUAUUCUAGACAAUUUAGUUGGGGUGUUUCAAAUAUUGUUCAAUAAGUUGAAUGUGUAACAUUUUCAACUUAGCAGAAAAGCUAUUUUUAUUCACCGAUGACGGCGAGACGGCGAAGCACGUGCGUGGAUAAAAGAUUAGGGAAGAUAGACAGGGCCAAUGGCAGGACCGGUGGCUGAACCGGCAGCGAGUGAAAGAGGAAGAAGUAGAAUCGGCGGAGAGUGAAAGGGAUGAUUGUUGUUACUGUUGAUGAUGCCUA